GUAAGUAAGAAUGGGGGUAGCCUCGCAGACAUUGCUUGAUGAGAAAUACAAUCUUUCAUUUUUCCUUUGUGAAGUAAAGUAUAAUAGCUGUGAGAGCAGUGAAAUCACAUCAAUUGACUUGUUUGAUAUUUAAAACUAAGUAAUUUUUUUAUUAAUCAUUUAUAUUUGGAGACGGGGUCUGGCUACAUACAUAGAAAGCCCAGGUUAUACUGGAACUUAAAAUGUACCUGCCUCAGUCUCCCAAGACCUUGUGUCAUUUAUUAGAGUUAAGCCUGAUAGAGCACCUGAAUCCAAUCCUGAUACUUACGUAACAAGAGAGAAACAGCUGUCAACACACACACACUUUUUUUUUUUUUUUUUUGGAGACAGGGUUUCUUUGUGCUCUGGCUGUCCUAGAACUCACUUUGUAGACCAGGCUGGCCUCAAACUCAGAAAUCCGCCUGCCUCUGCCUCCCAAGUGCUGGGAUUAAAGGCGUGCCCCAUCAUCGCCCGGCUAAAUUAUAAAACUUUUUAAAGAAUGUUCUUUAAAGGUAAGCUGACUGUAUGUGGUGUACACUUGGGAAGAGGAGGCAGGUGACAUCUGAACACCUGUGUGUUAGAGGCCAGCUGGGGUUACAAACUGAUUUUGAGGCCAGCCUCAAACAACAUGAUUGAGACCCAAUUUCGGGGGUUGGGGGAGUUAAAGUAAGCUGGAAAUGGUGGCACAUACCCUGUAAUCCUUGUGUUUGAGAGAUUGAGGCAGGAGGAUCAUGAUUAUAGUUGGUAGGGGGGUUGGGAGAAAUGGGUUUGCUCUCAAAGAGCCUGUAAAGCCCUCUGUUUGAUUUCCAGUACCCACAUCAGGUAACAUAAAAGCACUUGUAACUGCACCUUGUUAAUAACAAAAAGUUAAGUCACAUAGUAUCUCACAAG
rnacentral:lncRNA from 1 species